CCUACGGGAGGCAGCAGUGAGGAAUAUUGGUCAAUGGACGAGAGUCUGAACCAGCCAAGUAGCGUGAAGGAUGACUGCCCUAUGGGUUGUAAACUUCUUUUAUAUGGGAAUAAAAUGUUCCACGUGUGGGAUUUUGUAUGUACCAUAUGAAUUAGGAUCGGCUAACUCCGUUUCCGCAGCCGCGGUAAUACGGAGGCUCCGAGCGUUAUCCGGAUUUAUUGGGUUUAAAGGGAGAGUAGGUGGAUUGUUAAGUCGUUUGGGAACGUUUGCGGCUAAACCGUCAUACUGCAGUUGAGACUGGCAGUCGUGAGUAAAGGAGAGGUAGGCGGAAUUCGUGGUGUAGCGGUGAAAUGCGUAGAUAUCACGAAGAACACCGAUUGCGAAGGCAGCUCACUGGACUGCAACUGACACUGAGGCUCGAAGGUGUGGGUAGCAAACAGGAUUAGAUACCCGAGUAGUC
rnacentral:rRNA from 1 species